rnacentral:rRNA from 1 species
UGAGGAAUAUUGGUCAAUGGGCGGAAGCCUGAACCAGCCAUGCCGCGUGCAGGACGACGGCCCUACGGGUUGUAAACUGCUUUUCCGGGGGAAGAAUAACCCCCCUGCGGGGGGGGAUGCCGGUACCCCGGGAAUAAGGAUCGGCUAACUCCGUGCCAGCAGCCGCGGUAAUACGGAGGAUCCUAGCGUUAUCCGGAUUUACUGGGUUUAAAGGGUGCGUAGGCGGGCGCUUAAGUCCGCGGUGAAAGUCUGCGGCUCAACCGUAGGAUUGCCGUGGAUAAUGGGGGUUUUGGAUUCGGUCGGGGCGGGCGGAAUGCGUGGUGUAGCGGUCAAAUGCAUAGAUAUCACGCAGAACGCCGAUAGCGAAGGCAGCUCGCCGGGCCGACAUCGACGCUGAGGCACGAAAGCGUGGGGAUCAAACA